AAGUCGUAACAAGGUUUCCGUAGGUGAACCUGCGGAAGGAUCAUUAGAAUGAGAGCCGGACCAUGUCGUGGGCGAAAGCUCGCACGUGCCAGUAAGCGCUCGUAAACCUCCACCCUUGUGUAUUAUUCUUCUGUUGCUUUGGCAGGCCGCGACCCUCUGGGGGAGCGCUGCUGCGCUGAGAGUCGCUGGCCAAGAGGACCAAAUCUCUGUAAUUUAAUGCCGUCUGAGUACUAACGAAAUAGUUAAA
rnacentral:misc_RNA from 1 species